GGGUUGUGAGGUUAAGCGACUAAGCGUACACGGUGGAUGCCCUGGCAGUCAGAGGCGAUGAAGGACGUGCUAAUCUGCGAAAAGCGUCGGUAAGGUGAUAUGAACCGUUACAGCCGGCGAUGUCCGAAUGGGGAAACCCAGUGCAAUUCGUUGCACUAUCGUUAACUGAAUACAUAGGUUAACGAGGCGAACCGGGGGAACUGAAACAUCUAAGUACCCCGAGGAAAAGAAAUCAACCGAGAUUCCCCCAGUAGCGGCGAGCGAACGGGGAGCAGCCCAGAGUCUGAAUCAGCUUGUGUGUUAGUGGAACGGUCUGGAAAGUCCGACGGUACAGGGUGAUAGUCCCGUACACCAAAAUGCACAGGUUGUGAACUCGAAGAGUAGGGCGGGACACGUGGUAUCCUGUCUGAAU
rnacentral:rRNA from 1 species